rnacentral:rRNA from 1 species
GCAUCGCUCAGUCCGGUUGGUGAUUUUGGUUGGUUUGGCGAUUGAUCAGAUCGCACAAUCCGGGCUGAGUUCCCUUUCAGUGAUCUACUAUUCCGCGCAGCUAUUUAGUAGGUGGGGUAAUGGCUCACCUAGGCGACGAUCCCUAGCUGGUCUGAGAGGAUGACCAGCCACACUGGAACUGAGACACGGUCCAGACUCCUACGGGAGGCAGCAGUG